rnacentral:misc_RNA from 1 species
CUGGAACGCGUCUCUACGGCGUACCCAGAUACCCUUUGUGAACUUAACAUUCUCGUUGCCUCGGCACUGGUUGGGGGUGUUACGCCCUCCCUUCUGUCUCGUUACGGAAGGAGCAAGCCUGCCGGUGGCCCUCUAAACUCUUGUUUUCACAACCUGUCUCUUCUGAGUACAAUCAUUAAAAAUGAAUCA